rnacentral:lncRNA from 1 species
UCAUUUUGUUUAUUUUCUUUGGUUACAUCUUUUGACAUCAGACUCGGACUUCUCUUGAACUGAAUUUUAAUGUACGUAUUGUUAUGCGUUUACUUUUCUGCAUUGGCUAGAGGUAUAGGGGGAGGGUUGAGAUCUUACAAACAUGUUUAACCCUGCCGCAUUUUUGCGCCUGUCCCAAGUCAGGAGCCUCUGGCCUUUGUUAGUCUUGUAUUAUUUUAACUUUUAGUUUCUUGUGUACAAUUUGGAGUUUAGUAUGGUGUUCAUUAUCACUGAACUAGUAUAUAUUUGUUUAGGGGGCAGCUGAAGGACGCCUCCGGGUGCAAGAAUUGCUCGUUGCAUUGAAGACCUGUUGGUGACCUUCUG